rnacentral:rRNA from 1 species
GUAAACGAUGUCUACUAGCCGUUGGAGGACUUGAUCCUUUAGUGGCGCAGCUAACGCGAUAAGUAGACCGCCUGGGGAGUACGGUCGCAAGAUUAAAACUCAAAUGAAUUGACGGGGGCCCGCACAAGCGGUGGAGCAUGUGGUUUAAUUCGAAGCAACGCGAAGAACCUUACCUACUCUUGACAUCCAGUGAACUUUUGAGAGAUCAAUUGGUGCCUUCGGGAACACUGAGACAGGUGCUGCAUGGCUGUCGUCAGCUCGUGUUGUGAAAUGUUGGGUUAAGUCCCGUAACGAGCGCAACCCUUGUCCUUAGUUACCAUCAUUAAGUUGGGGACUCUAAGGAGACUGCCGGUGACAAACCGGAGGAAGGCGGGGACGACGUCAAGUCAUCAUGGCCCUUACGAGUAGGGCUACACACGUGCUACAAUGGCAUGUACAAAGGGUUGCCAAGCCGCGAGGUGGAGCUAAUCCCAUAAAGCAUGUCGUAGUCCGGAUUGGAGUCUGCAACUCGACUCCAUGAAGUCGGAAUCGCUAGUAAUCGUGAAUCAGAAUGUCACGGUGAAUACGUUCCCGGGCCUUGUACACACCGCCCGUCACACCAUGGGAGUGGGUUGCUCCAGAAGUAGAUAGCU